rnacentral:lncRNA from 1 species
GUGACUUGUACUCGUAAGGUGGUGGCGGAGAUUUUUCGGGUGGUGGAGGUGACUUGUACUCAUAAGGUGGUGGUGGAGAUUUUUCGGGUGGUGGAGGUGACUUGUACUCAUAAGGUGGAGAUUUUUCAGGUGGUGGUGGUGACUUAUACUCAUAAGGUGGAGAUUUUUCAGGUGGUGGUGGUGAUUUAUAUUCAUAAGGUGGGGGUGGUGGAGAAGCAUAAGAGUAGGCAUCAGCAGAUACUGAAACUACAUUACUUGAAACAACAACUAUAAUGGCCAGCAAUGCCACUACAAAAUGGGGCCAAAACUGACCCGGAGGCGGGUUUCCGCCCGGAAUCGCCAUGAUUACCGGAACAAUGACCUCUUUCCGAUCAAUGUGGCAGGCUUUUCUGCAGUUCUUCUCUAAAGAUGAAAAGUGAAUUUUAGAGAAGAAAUUGGGAAAGAAACAAAUAGAUGAGUU